CAUUAUGAAGCUAAUUAGCAUCAACCUUUUAAGUUGAAGAUUGGGAGCCCUACUCCCCAUAAUGA
rnacentral:tRNA from 1 species